CUUCCUCCGAAGCCUGGUAAAUGGCUUGAUGAUUGGUCGCUAUUACUCGCCCUGAGGUGGAAGGGGGGAGACUCUUUAAAGUGCGUCAGAGGGAGGCAGGCGCCUGGGAACCCGGAGGCCUGGAUCCGGGCCGAGAGUGGAACGGACUCGGCGCCGCUGCCUCGGCUGUGCCUCCGGCGCCCGCCAGGCCGCCCGGCCUCUCCGCGCCCUCGUCCCGCGCUCCCGGCUCACUCGCUCCCGCGGCGCCCGCUGCAGCUUCUCCUCCGCCUCUUUCGCCGCCUCCUCUGCCUUCAGCUUCUUCUCUUCUUCCUCCUCCUCCUCUUCCUCCUUCUUCCUCUCCUCUUCUUCCUCCUCCUCUUUCCCCACCUCCUCUCCCUCAGCCACCGCCUCCUCCUCCACCGCCACCACUCCCUCCGGGGCACCCCGGUCCCUGCAGAGUCCCGGCCGGCGGCGCCUCGGCUGCAGCCCCCUGGAUCCUGAGCCUGCCGAGCCCGAGCUGGUAGGACAGACGGACAGACAGACACGCAGAUUCCUCGCGCCUAGCGCUCCGCCGCGGCCCCGGGUCAGGGGAGCUGGGAUCGCCCCCCGAGUACCGCGAGGUUCUAGCUGCAGUCCUGCCAUUUGGGCAGCUUCUGGCCACCAUGAGAGAAUCGGUGUCACCAUGUCCAGCUGAUGUCAUUCCAGAUCACUGCAAAGGAAUGUGGAGUGUCCAUCAGCCCAAGUGACCUUGUUUGGAGUAACUACACCAUUGCAUGAGACUCAGAAAUUGCAAAAAUGCUCAGGAAUCCACAGAAGAAUCUCAGCCAGCCCCGGAGCCCCGGGAUCCCUGGACUGUGUAUUUCACUCUUGCCAGGGGUGCUGGUGCCAGAGGUCAGCGAGCUUUCACCUCCAUCCCUCCUCACUGCAGGCCGCUUCAGAGCCCCUCAGCCCAGCCGCAGUGCUGAGGCCGAGGAGGGAGGAAGAAGAGGACAGCUCCUGGGAGAGGCCACUCGGUGUCUGGCCCUCCAAAUGCAUGGAGUACAGAAACUUGGCUGGGCGCAGAAGCACCUCGUGACUGUGCAAAGCAAGUCCAGAUGGCAUGAGAUACACCACCACUGAUGCCAAGAAAUCCUGGGUGUGCCCCUUGGGGUGUCCCCUCCGAGGGCAGCCACAGCCCGGGCAUGGUGCACUCCUGACAAGUGGCCAAAGGCGCACAGAACCAGCAGCCUGCAAAGAAAAUUUGGUGAAUGCGGUUAGAUCAUGUCAACUUUAAUGUGCUUCCAGAGUAUUAACAACACCUCUGCAAGGUACCAAGGUACCAAGGUACCGUGUGACUCUUCAAAGGCUUCCCACAGGCCAUGUGUCCUUUAAGCCUCAUUCGAGAGAAAGACAGAACAGAUACCAUGGGGAUUGCGAAAGAUACUGUGACAAAUCUGAGGUCCAGCAAGAUGGCGGUGGAGAUGCGAGGACUUGAGCCUAGUUACUCACACCAGGCCUCAUCCAGAGGAUGCACACAGGGACUGUGUACCAUGAAGAGGCUGUCCGGAAGUUAGGAGCAGGGUCAGCCCACACAGUGGGGCAGAUUGUGCACUGCAUCAGGGCAUCCCUACCAAAGGGGUCCCAAUCACAUCUUGGACAUGGUAGAUCUGCAUGUUUAUUCCAUUUCUCUGGAUUGCAAUAAAGUGUCUAUUCUAAUAAAAUCAGUAUAAUACUUUCCCAA